AACGCACAUUGCGCCCGCGGGCAUCCCCGCGGGCAUGCCCGUCCGAGCGUCGUUAAUCCAACCCCCGAGCACCGCUCGGCGUUGGGGACCUACAGCGCCUGUAGGCCCCGAAGAGCAGUGGCGGGCGCGCCGCGGCCACCCGAGCGAGCAGUAGAAUCCUACCGCCCGGCGUGCGCGGCGCAUCCAGCCCUGAGCGCUGCUUGGAGUCCUCUCCAGCAGCACCAUAACUCAAAGGUCGACCUCGGAUCGGGUAGGGAUACCCGCUGAACUUAA
rnacentral:misc_RNA from 1 species